CCUGGGGAGGAAAAAAAAAAGGGGGGGAAAUAAUGAGCAGUGCGUUGGUAAUACAUGGACAUUUAAAUACAAAAUCCACUAUCAAGAUGCAAAAAUAACCCAUUAAGUUAUCAUUUACAGUUAUAUUUCACAAUAUGUUACUAUAUGGAAAAAUCUCAAACAUUUGAAAGGCUCAGCAUUAAAAAGAAAAAGGAGAAUAUGUAAUGUACGGUUGGAAAGUCACAGGAUCAUUGUCCAGUUAAUGAUACAAACAGAACAACACCACUGGAGGUGUGGAGCCACAUCUUGGCCCAGGCAUUGAUCCCUUCAUUCUGGUGGCACGAAGAGGCUGGAAGAAUUUUGCAAGGCCUUAUAAAUAUAUUUGAAUAAAACCUAGUAACUUACAUUGGGGUUUUUUUGCGGUCACCAGCACAUUUUGCCAUCUGAACCUUGUUUUUACAGUUACUAAUGUUAACUGGUUUCAGAGUAACAGCCGUGUUAGUUAUGUAUUUGCAAAAAGAAAAGGAGUACUUGUGGUUAACUGCUACUUUCACAAGUGCUUGCUUGCAUUCCCCCUUGCCUAUAAAGGUAAAGUCCACCAGAACUGAAACUUUGUACUGUACAAAUACAUUCGUAAAGACUUAUCCUGAGACCUGCCUGUCCAGUCAUGACUUACAAGUAAACCUGUUAAGUGGUAUUUAAUUUAUUCCCAAUGUAUUCAGCAUAUACCAUGCAGAAAGUGAGACACAAAUUGGUUGUUUAAACAAUGGGUCAGUUCUUUACGAUAUUUGAGAUAGUGAAGAUUCAUUCCAGUAUAUAAGCUGUUUUGUGUCCCACUUUUCCAAUACUACUUCUGUACAAGUGAGAAGAGGGCAAAUCUGUUUUUUUUAAAAAAACCUACUUCAUUUGAAAACAACUCACGUAAUAAUGCAUCCAAUGAAGUGAGCUGUAGCUCACGGAAGCUUAUGCUCAAAUAAAUUUGUUAAUCUCUAAGGUGCCACAAGUCCUCAUUUUCUUUUUUCGGAUACAGACUAACAUAGCUGCUACUCUGAAACCUGUCACAUAAUAAUGAAUGUGUCUUUUUAGUACUUAUGUCAGACCUUAAGCAACUGGAUAUGCAAAGGAGAAUUUUCACUUUUUUUUUUUUUUUUUAAAGGAAGUUAAUAGCCCUUUUCCUUGUGGAGGCAGGCUUGAAAAUGCAAAUGAUCAUGAAACCAAUUGCUCAGGUUGAAAGAAACAAGCAGCUGGGUUCCACUUCUGCCCCAGGCACACAGGUGGUGAACUAAAGAGCCCAGGCCCUACCGCAAUAAGAUAAAUCAGUUCCAGUUGGAGUAUACACCAAAAUGGCAUGUCGCUCCUGCAUUUCUCAGGCUAGCCCUGUGUAUAGUUGCAGGACUGUGGUGCAUGGAAACUGGCAAAAAUGUUCCAAAAGACACUGACCCCCUCCCCCCACCCCCAAUUCAAAAAUAUCAGGCCUGGUUCUGCAAAGUAAGCCAGCCACGGGCUGGAAACGCCUGACAGGAAUUGCUUCUUUCCCUCCCCAAACAUGGCACUAGUAGCAGAGUUCCGUUAUUACAGGAGAGGGCACCCUACUAACGACCCUGCCAUUGGUGCCAGCGCUCUCCUCGAGCUGUAGGUAGGGAAGGAACUGGAUGUUGUGUUGGGCAGAGCGUGUCUGAAUAGCUGUGCCCUAACACCCAGGCUGUGCCUACAGUAAGAGAACUCAAACCAGCAAUUCUUCACUGGCGCAGCUCCUUCUGGGGGAGCCAGUGAUUACACAGACCUAUGUCUGCAACCCCUGCACAGGGGUUGCAGUCUCUAUUCCAGUCCAGGGGCUACGGAAAGGCCAGAGGGGAGCUGAAGGCUCCCCUGUCACCUGCACAUGGGCAGGGUGGGUGGAUUUCAAACCCCCAACUCACCGGCAGCAACUCUGUGCAAAGCCCACUUAGUCGGGCUUGGUGCAGGGUGGUAGGGUGGCUGCGGGGAAAUUCCCUUUCUAAGUGGAGUUUCACUAUAACAGAAUUAACCAUAAACAGGCUUUACUGUGCUGUUGACACUGGGCAUCACAGCUCAGUGUAACUUCUAUGUAAAAGUAACUAGCUCUGUACAAGUCUAGCAGAAUUUCAUCAUAUUAUAUAUUCUUGAUGCCUGUUUAAAACACAAACCACACUAGAAUCUAUAGAUUAUCAUAUGCCCUAUAUGGUAACAUUCCCUAUUGCUUUUUAACCUUGUUUUUAAAGGUUGGGGUGUGGCUAUCAUGCUCCAAGCAGCCCUGGAGAUCAAAAGCCCUUUGCUUAUCUACAGAUCAGAUUAAGCAGCUGCAGUGGCAACACUGGCUACCCACCUAAUGCCCCUCAACAGGGGCAUCCAAGUGUUUUACAGAGAGUUGUUAAUAGUGGUAUCCCCAUUUUAGAGAGACAGAAACUGAGGCACAAAGGCGUUGAGGGCAUCUGCGCUACAGUGUAAGCCCAGAGUUCGAACACAGCCUCAAGCCUAACUCCCCUGCCUUCCAUCGUCUCACAAAUUGCGCUAACUCAGGCGCUGGAUCCAGGACCCCACAGGGAUAGAGGGCCCAAGCCUGAGAGGUGCACGUAAAUGGUUAUUAGCUUAUGUUAGUAAAGUCUUGAGAUACCAUUUUAAAAGAAAGGCCAUCAGGAAAAUUUGAAUCUAUUAUAUACGUUAUGUACUUUGCUGCACCAAUCUCUGCUUGCGACUGUGCUGAACCAGCACUGUUAAGCCCUCAGCCGUGCACACGUACAAGAGGCAUGGAUUUUCUAGAUCAGCAAAUGUCUGGCCAAUCUAAAAUAACAUCAAAUAUAACUAUGAUUGGAUGAGAAACUACAAUGUGACCAAACAAGAUACUAAGUCAGUAUUAAUAAAUUCAGUGGGCAUGUGGUAAGGGUAUUACUUUCUUGUAAAAUAUCAUGAUUUUGAGCACUGUAUAUUGCUCUGACAAAGUGUUUAGGAAUAAUUUUAAAAGGUGUUUGUUUGUUUUUAUAUAUAUAUAUUCUCUGA